rnacentral:misc_RNA from 1 species
AUGGUUGGAUUUGCAAAUGGAAAAUGCACUGUCUUGGGUCGAUAACCAAUUAAAUUAGCUUGUUGGAUUCCAAACAAUUCUUGGUGCCGGACAUGAAUGUCUAGAGUUGGUUACAUUUCUCACUGCUUUACAAAUAUCACUGAGUGAAAAUGUUGCUCUGAUCUGCUCGUGUUCCACGAUGGCAAACGCUCCUUUUUUCUUUUUUUUUUUUAAUCGGAAAG